ensembl:snRNA U6 U6 spliceosomal RNA
AUGCUUGCCUUGGCAGCACAUAUACUAAAAGUGGAAAAAUAGAAGGUUAGCAUGGCCUCUGAACAAUAAUGAUAUGCAAAUACACAAAGAGUUCCAUAUUUCU